GACGGAAGGUGCAAGCGUUGCUCGGAAUUACUGGGCGUAAAGGGCGCGUAGGCGGCCCGCUAAGUCGAACGUGAAAUCCCCGAGCUCAACUCGGGAACUGCGUCCGAUACUGGCGGGCUUGAAUCCGGGAGAGGGAUGCGGAAUUCCAGGUGUAGCGGUGAAAUGCGUAGAUAUCUGGAGGAACACCGGUGGCGAAGGCGGCAUCCUGGACCGGCAUUGACGCUGAGGAGCGAAAGCCAGGGGAGCAAACGGG
rnacentral:rRNA from 1 species